CGAGUGAAGUGGGAAAAGCUCAACUUUGAAAUCUGGCUGCUUUGCAGUCCGAGUUGUAGUUUCGAGAAAUGUUUUCCGCGUCAAUCCAUGUAUGAGUCUGUUGGAACACAGCGUCAUAGAGGGUGAGAACCCCGUUCAUGACAUGGCUUUUGGUGCUUUGUGAUACAUUUUCGACGAGUCGAGUUGUUUGGGAAUGCAGCUCAAAUUGGGUGGUAAAUUCCAUCUAAAGCUAAAUAUUGGCGAGAGACCGAUAGCAAACAAGUACCGUGAGGGAAAGAUGAAAAGCACUUUGGAAAGAGAGUUAAAAGUACGUGAAAUUGUCGAAAGGGAAACGAUUGAAGUCAGACGUGCAUGGUAUUCAUUACCUUUGCAGGCCAACAUCGGUUUUGCGAGUCGGAUAAAGGUAGAGAGAAGGUAGCAGUCUCGGCUGUGUUAUAGCUCUUUACUGAAUACGAAAUGUGAGACCGAGGGACGCAGUGCGCCGCAAGGCAAAGGGUUCGCUCUUUACGCACUUAGG
rnacentral:rRNA from 1 species